rnacentral:lncRNA from 1 species
GUAACAGCCCGAUCCCCCGGCGUCCGACCGGAGUUAUCGAAGGGGCGUUAUGGACACGUGUCUACUCAUUUAGACAACCCUACGUGUCCCGUUACUGGUCCCGAGAGACGAGCGCAUAACCUUCUUUGAAAUACCGUCACACUCACAUCCAUAUACUUCUACUUACAGUCCUGCACACAGGGAAAAAUGGAAAUGGAGGGGGUGAGCAACAAGUUACUCAGUGAAGUGGCUCUAGACCAGCCUGCCCGCAUGACACUCUAUACUACUCUAUGCGGGAACUAGGACUGACUAGCCACUACAAUCAGUUAAUGCAUUUUAUCAUUUCCUAUCACCAUCUGUAAUUUCUACACACACUUCCAUUCAUUUCUAACAACCUAGUAAUCAAUCAAUACAAUGAUCUCACUCAUUGCCACACACGCCAUCCCUAGACUUAACCGACUCAUCUUACCAGUCCGACUCAAUCCUAUCACUUCUUUAACUUCCUGUACCCGACCAUGAGCUAAAACCCUACAAUGCAUAUCCUUUUCGUCUUUUCCUCUUUUCAUCUUUUCCUCUUUUCCUCUUUUCCUCUUUUCCUCAGUGGGUAGCCCCCCACUAGGCUUCUACCCCAUACUCAUGUGGAUUCGCCACAUCUCCUAUGGGUGCCUCCAUAUUCAUGUGGAUUCGCCACAUCUCCUAUGGAUACCUAGCGUGGACUACUUACCCCACCUACUUUCCUUAGACUCUCUAUAUGCUUUCCCACCCAUGCUUAACCUUAACAACGUUCUUUCAUACUUUUACUUAUCCUUUCACUUCCUUAUCGCUAUCGCUUAACCCUUUCCAUUCCCAAUUACUUCCCCUUUUCAUUUCCACUUGUACUAGGACUCAAUCACUAGACGCCACCCGUUAUCGGUGUCACACACAAUACACAUCGCAUUCAAGUUCUACUUCAAUAACUUUUAUAAUCAUUGUUCAUCUAUCACCCUAGCAUUUAUUUCUCUCUAGCAUCCUAACUUCAAUCGCAACCACACAUGGGACAUCACAUCCAAACAUACAAGCAUCACUCAUCAACCAAUCAACAUCACCACAACAUAGAUCAGUUCAUCAAGUCCCGUUAACAGUAUGAGGGUUCUUAUGCAUCAUGAUUCAUUCAUCUAUCAUCCUAGCAAUUAUCAUGUUCUAUCAACCUAACUCUCAAACAGGGUCUAAACAACCUAACUCCAACAUAGAGGAGUAUACAGAAUCAUGAGAGAAGGUUGGGUUCGGGACACUCCACCUUAGCCUAGAUCUGGAUCUGGAUCUGGAUCUGGAGACAAAGGGGAUGAGAUCUGAACAGAUCUGGAACAAGUAAACAAGAGAGACGAGAUCUGGUCACCACCACAACACCACACAUCCACCACCAUCACCACACUCGGACGAUCACCCCAUCACCACUUGGACGACCACCACCACCACCACCGGCGGCUCGGCUUGCUCUCGGGGGACUCACGGCGAGGAGAGAGGAAGAGAACCAACGGAAAGAGAAAGGAGAGGGAGAGGGAGAGAGAGGAGGCGUGAGAGAAGAAGAGAGAAGAGGAAAAGGGAAGCUUGACGGCUAGGGUUUUCUAGUCUCUCUAAAUCUCUGCAGAGCUUCGCUCCAGUUUCAGAAUGAGAGAAAAAUGAGAGGAGGCAGCUUUAUUUAUAGGAAAAGGAGGGAACCCUAGGUCAUUUACCCUAAUGGGCUGCAGUCUUAACGGGCUCUCCUUAAGAAAAUUUUUGGGCUGGGAACCGGGCCGUUACAAUUCUCCCCUGUUAAUCGGAAUUCGUCCCCGAAUUCCAAGCCCUAGACUUCCAAACUUAACAUCCGAUAACAAAAGGAACUCACACAAUCACACAUCAUACAAGGGAGGCACACAAGGCGAGAACAACUUUGCUCGGGGAUCUUUUAAAAACCCAUGAAUGAAUUAAGCUCAAAAAGAAAUUUUGCAAAUACAAUGGAUCCGAUCAAAAUCAUAAUAACGUAUAGAUAUAAUGGGUGGUUUUGAAAUCAUUUUCAGGAGUGUUAGAAGAAACAAAACUUUUACAAACUCUUUUCUUUUAAUGAAAACAAGUUUUUUUUUUUCGAAAACGUCGGAAAUGCUGAUCCCUUAGGACAGAACUAAGGGAUCUUAACCCGCUCUGAUACCAAUUGUAACAGCCCGAUCCCCCGGCGUCCGACCGGAGUUAUCGAAGGGGCGUUAUGGACACGUGUCUACUCAUUUAGACAACCCUACGUGUCCCGUUACUGGUCCCGAGAGACGAGCGCAUAACCUUCUUUGAAAUACCGUCACACUCACAUCCAUAUACUUCUACUUACAGUCCUGCACACAGGGAAAAAUGGAAAUGGAGGGGGUGAGCAACAAGUUACUCAGUGAAGUGGCUCUAGACCAGCCUGCCCGCAUGACACUCUAUACUACUCUAUGCGGGAACUAGGACUGACUAGCCACUACAAUCAGUUAAUGCAUUUUAUCAUUUCCUAUCACCAUCUGUAAUUUCUACACACACUUCCAUUCAUUUCUAACAACCUAGUAAUCAAUCAAUACAAUGAUCUCACUCAUUGCCACACACGCCAUCCCUAGACUUAACCGACUCAUCUUACCAGUCCGACUCAAUCCUAUCACUUCUUUAACUUCCUGUACCCGACCAUGAGCUAAAACCCUACAAUGCAUAUCCUUUUCGUCUUUUCCUCUUUUCAUCUUUUCCUCUUUUCCUCUUUUCCUCUUUUCCUCAGUGGGUAGCCCCCCACUAGGCUUCUACCCCAUACUCAUGUGGAUUCGCCACAUCUCCUAUGGGUGCCUCCAUAUUCAUGUGGAUUCGCCACAUCUCCUAUGGAUACCUAGCGUGGACUACUUACCCCACCUACUUUCCUUAGACUCUCUAUAUGCUUUCCCACCCAUGCUUAACCUUAACAACGUUCUUUCAUACUUUUACUUAUCCUUUCACUUCCUUAUCGCUAUCGCUUAACCCUUUCCAUUCCCAAUUACUUCCCCUUUUCAUUUCCACUUGUACUAGGACUCAAUCACUAGACGCCACCCGUUAUCGGUGUCACACACAAUACACAUCGCAUUCAAGUUCUACUUCAAUAACUUUUAUAAUCAUUGUUCAUCUAUCACCCUAGCAUUUAUUUCUCUCUAGCAUCCUAACUUCAAUCGCAACCACACAUGGGACAUCACAUCCAAACAUACAAGCAUCACUCAUCAACCAAUCAACAUCACCACAACAUAGAUCAGUUCAUCAAGUCCCGUUAACAGUAUGAGGGUUCUUAUGCAUCAUGAUUCAUUCAUCUAUCAUCCUAGCAAUUAUCAUGUUCUAUCAACCUAACUCUCAAACAGGGUCUAAACAACCUAACUCCAACAUAGAGGAGUAUACAGAAUCAUGAGAGAAGGUUGGGUUCGGGACACUCCACCUUAGCCUAGAUCUGGAUCUGGAUCUGGAUCUGGAGACAAAGGGGAUGAGAUCUGAACAGAUCUGGAACAAGUAAACAAGAGAGACGAGAUCUGGUCACCACCACAACACCACACAUCCACCACCAUCACCACACUCGGACGAUCACCCCAUCACCACUUGGACGACCACCACCACCACCACCGGCGGCUCGGCUUGCUCUCGGGGGACUCACGGCGAGGAGAGAGGAAGAGAACCAACGGAAAGAGAAAGGAGAGGGAGAGGGAGAGAGAGGAGGCGUGAGAGAAGAAGAGAGAAGAGGAAAAGGGAAGCUUGACGGCUAGGGUUUUCUAGUCUCUCUAAAUCUCUGCAGAGCUUCGCUCCAGUUUCAGAAUGAGAGAAAAAUGAGAGGAGGCAGCUUUAUUUAUAGGAAAAGGAGGGAACCCUAGGUCAUUUACCCUAAUGGGCUGCAGUCUUAACGGGCUCUCCUUAAGAAAAUUUUUGGGCUGGGAACCGGGCCGUUACAC